rnacentral:rRNA from 1 species
CCUACGGGAGGCAGCAGUAGGGAAUUUUCGUCAAUGGGCGCAAGCCUGAACGAGCAAUGCCGCGUGAACGAGGAAGGUCUUCGGAUCGUAAAGUUCUGUUGAAGGGGAAAAAGAGCGGAGAGAGGAAAUGAACUCCGAUUGAUAUUACACUUCGAGGAAGUCACGGCUAACUACGUGCCAGCAGCCGCGGUAAUACGGAGGUGGCGAGCGUUAUCCGGAAUGAUUGGGCGUAAAGGGUGCGUAGGCGGCCUGCUAAGUCUGGAGUGAAAGGUACCGGCUCAACCGGUACAGGCUCUGGAAACUGGCGGGCUAGAGAGCAGGAGAGUGCGGUGGAACUCCAUGUGUAGCGGUAAAAUGCGUAGAUAUAUGGAAGAACACCAGUGGCGAAGGCGGCCGCCUGGCCUGUUACUGACGCUGAGGCACGAAAGCGUGGGGAGCAAAUAGGAUUAGAUACCCCAGUAGUC